rnacentral:RNase_P_RNA from 1 species
GGAGCAGGCCGGGCCGUCGCGGCGCCACUGACGCCGAGGAAAGUCCGGGCUCCGCAGGGCAGGGUGCUGGGUAACACCCAGCGGGGGCGACCCCAGGGACAGUGCCACAGAAAAACACCGCCAGCCGGGAAACCGGCCGGUAAGGGUGCAACGGCGGGGUAAGGGCCCGCCGGCGGCCCGGCGACGGGCCGGCCAGGCAAACCCCACCCGGAGCAAGGCCAGAUAGGGGGAGAUGAGGUGGCCCGCCGAUCCCCGGGUAGGCUGCUCGAGGCCGCGGGCAACCGCUGGCCCUAGAGAGAUGACCGCCGCGCCGCCGGCGCCGUUCAGGCGUUGCGGCGUACAGAACCCGGCUUACAGGCCUGCUCCCCGG